rnacentral:rRNA from 1 species
GAGUUUGAUCAUGGCUCAGAACGAACGCUGGCGGCGUGCCUAACACAUGCAAGUCGAGCGCGAACGGUUCCUUCGGGGACCUAGUAGAGCGGCGAACGGGUGAGUAACGCGUGGGUAAUCUGCCCUUUGGUGGGGAAUAACCACGGGAAACUGUGGCUAAUGCCGCAUGAGCUCUCGGACCCCGCGGGGAUCGAGAGGAAAGCAUGCCUCUGCUUCAAGCAUGCGCCAGAGGAGGAGCCCGCGUCCCAUUAGCUAGUUGGUGAGGUAACGGCUCACCAAGGCAACGAUGGGUAGCCGGCCUGAGAGGGUGAACGGCCACACUGGGACUGAGACACGGCCCAGACUCCUACGGGAGGCAGCAGUGGGGAAUUUUGCGCAAUGGGGGAAACCCUGACGCAGCGACGCCGCGUGCGGGAUGAAGGCCUUCGGGUUGUAAACCGCUGUCGUACGGGACGAACCCCCGGUGGAUGAAUAAGCCAUCGGGCUGACGGUACCGUGCAAGAAAGCCCCGGCUAACUCCGUGCCAGCAGCCGCGGUAAUACAAGGG